rnacentral:tRNA from 1 species
CCCGUCAUAGCUCAGAGGAUAGAGCAACGGUUUCCUAAACCGUGUGUCCUCGGUUCGACUCCGAGUGGCGGGU